rnacentral:rRNA from 1 species
UCAGCGCUGGCGGCGUGCCUAACACAUGCAAGUCGAACGAGAAAGUCCCGCAAGGGACAAGUAGAGUGGCGAACGGGUGAGUAACACGUGGAUAACCUGCCGUCGAGUGGGGAAUAACCUUCCGAAAGGAGGGCUAAUACCGCAUAACACCCGAGGACAUCAGUCCCCGGGUUGAAAGGAGUGAUUCGCUCGAUGAGGGGUCCGCGCCUGAUUAGCUUGUUGGUGGGGUAAUGGCUCACCAAGGCGACAAUCAGUAGCCGUCCUGAGAGGGAGCACGGCCACACUGGAACUGAGACACGGUCCAGACUCCUACGGGAGGCAGCAGUGAGGAAUUUUUGGCAAUGGGCGAAAGCCUGACCAAGCAACGCCGCGUGGGUGAUGAAGUAUUUUGGUACGUAAAACCCUUUCGGCAGGGACGAAUUCUUGACGGUACCUGCGGAAGAAGCCCCGGCUAACUCCGUGCCAGCAGCCGCGGUAAUACGGGGGGGGCAAGCGUUGUUCGGAAUUACUGGGCGUAAAGGGCGCGUAGGCGGUUGGAUAAGUCAGCUGUGAAAACCUCAGGCUCAACUUGAGGCCUGCAGUUGAAACUGUCCAGCUAGAGUGUGGGAAAAGGAAAGUGGAAUU